AUUUAACAACUAGUGUGCCUUUUGGCUGGUCCUCCAAUUCUGUUGGGAGCCCUCGUUUUGGGAUUUGUCAUGACGCACACCUUGUCAGCAAUUGCAACGAAAGAUUCUCACUGGUAUGGUUUGCAAGGUGAAGGGUUACAUAUGCCACAAACCUUUUCCGCAAUUGCAACCGAAGAUUUUUGGAUGAAUCGCAAGAUCAUCGUUGAAGGCUUUCAGUUGUCCAGGCCAGGCCAGGUGACCAAUGACGAUGAUAGAUCGGGUUCGAUUCAAGCUAUACGCUUGGUGUAUUUGGUUAUCGUGACUGGCGACUUGAGUCUAACUCAUCUCAUUUCCAAAGCGCGGUGGCUGGGUCCCAGGCAUGCUUGCCUCUUUGUUCCACGGUCCUCAUCUAAGUUUCGACGGUGAUGACAUGGACUUAGGUUCAAGGAACGUGUUCCCCUUGAGUCAUUGUGGUUGAUUGAUGGGGGCAAUAAACAGUUGCGUGUCGCUAGUCGUUCAAUUGGUCCCCUUGUUUUAGAGUGUUGGCGGGAUAAGUCGUACGAAUGUUAACAAUAGUAUGCAAUAGCUGGCCAGCGAUCCCCUACCUGAUCUCGAGGGGGAUGGAAUGACUGGGUGAUAGGCCUGUUGUUAACCUGCGGAAUUUCGUCGGACGAAAUGUCAGGCGUGUCCGUGUGGGUAUUGUGCUAAACCAGUUUAGUACUAAUGACGAAGACAUUGGGCUCUUUGAAUAACAACAGUGUCCUUGACCUCCUUGUGCCACACAAAGCUAAUAAUAUAUGCCCCCUGAAAUCGACAAGACGGCGAUGAAGAAGGAGAGCCGGCCUCCAACUCGUCAGCCGAGAAGACACUGGAUGGACCCCAAGAAGAUGUUGCUGCUAAUGUUGGAGCCAUACAGGGUGGCCGAGCCAACAUUGUACAAGGGCCACAAGGACAAGGGACACAAAGACAAGGGACACAAGGACAAGGGACACAAGGAACACAAGGACAAGGGACAUAAAAGGCGAUGUUGCAGUCUACAGCUGAGAUGAUGGCUGUCGAGAAGACCAUGAACCACUCAACCAAGAUCUACAAUUCGUGCUAUGUAGAUGUCACUCUCAAAGAUUUUGGAUGACGAAGGAAUCCAAUGCAUAUAUGUCGCUCACAGAUACGGCAGACGACUGAGAGUCGAGUGGAUUCAGUGGAUCGAAUGGUUGUGCUGAAGGAUGUCCAUGUGCAGGAGUGACGAACCACAGUUCAGCAAACGAUGCCUUGACACUGACCAAUUCAAGGAGAACCUUCGCUAAGAUCAGGAAGGGAACCUGUUUGCUAUGUGGAUGGAUUGAACACUUAAAUGUCUGUCAUUCUAUAGACUAUAAUGACAAUUUUCUGAUGGACUAUAGUGACAAUCUAACUCCAAAGGGGACUCUCUGGACUUAGGGAAAGCUACGGACAUAGAGCCCUGACAUGAUAUCCUGCAGCCACCAUGAGGACAGCCUAUCUCAUACCUUCGGAAGGAUGCCAUCACACGCAUGAUGAGCCAUCCCACUGGAGGGAGAAGGAUGUUGUUGACCCAGCACAUCCCAACCAUGCUCCCAUCGCCGUCAAGUAACAGUACGACGGUUAGAUUGUAUUUUGUCACCGUAGGCUUUAUCGUUUUAUCAAAAUAUCUGAUUGAAAGGUGAUUGAAUGAAAAUUCAAAUUUUUCUGAUGGUGAGAAGGCAAAUAUUUACCUAUGACAAGCAUAGAUUAUUUUAAUCUGUGUUUGGUUAUGAUCAUGACUUGUGCCAUGGUUCAAAAUCUUACACUUUUCAAAGAAGGAAUUGAAAUUAUGGGGGGUUGGGU